UUGGGCGUAAAGCGUCUGUAGGUGGCUUUUUAAGUCCGCCGUCAAAUACUAGGGCUCAACCCUGGACAGGCCGUGGAAACUACCAAGCUCAAAUAUGGUAGGGGCAGAGGGAAUUUCCGGUGGAGUGGUGAAAUGCGUAGAGAUCAAACAGAACACCAACGGCGAAAGCACUCUGCUGGGCCAACACUGACACUGAGAGACGAAAGCUAGGGGAGCGAAUGGGAUUAGAUACCCUAAUAGUUCUAGCCGUAAACGAUGGAUACUAGGCGUUGUGCCUGUCAACCCGUGCAGUGCUGUAGCUAACGCAUUCAGUAUCCCGCC
rnacentral:rRNA from 1 species